rnacentral:rRNA from 1 species
ACGGGAGGCAGCAGUGGGGAAUCUUGCGCAAUGCGCGAAAGCGUGACGCAGCAACGCCGCGUGGGGGAAGAAGGCCUUCGGGUUGUAAACCCCUUUCAGUUGGGACGAAGCUUCCGCGGUUAACAGCCGCGUGGAGUGACGGUACCUUCACAAGAAGCCCCGGCUAACUACGUGCCAGCAGCCGCGGUAAUACGUAGGGGGCUAGCGUUGUCCGGAAUCAUUGGGCGUAAAGCGCGUGUAGGCGGCCCGGUAAGUCCGCUGUGAAAGUCGGGGGCUCAACCCUCGAAAGCCGGUGGAUACUGUCGGGCUAGAGUACGGAAGAGGCGAGUGGAAUUCCUGGUGUAGCGGUGAAAUGCGCAGAUAUCAGGAGGAACACCGAUUGCGAAGGCAGCUCGCUGGGACGUGACUGACGCUGAGACGCGAAAGCGUGGGGAGCAAACAGGAUUAGAUACCCUGGUA